rnacentral:sRNA from 1 species
UACAAAAGACGGGUGGGUGGUGCAGUAUUCUAGUCGGCACGGCCAACUUUGAAGGCGGGCCUAAAAAUCCGUCAAGGGCACAGCGAUGAAGUUCCUGGUGCUGGCUGCCGACGCCCAGUCGGGGGCUGGUGCUGGGAGUUAAGGGGGUGGGGCGAUCUACAAUGGCAUGUAGGCGUUGACCCCGCCCCCGUGGAGACCCAAGUGUGUGGUUGGCCCUAUGCGCAAGGAUAGGGGGCUAUGGCUUGGGAUAUAAACCUGCAUGUCGGUACAAAAGGGUGCUGGCUGCAGCGUAGCCUGCCUUGAGUGGGAAUGGUGGAUGUAGGUGUUCAUGCCCGCAGGUGCUAUGGCCAUAGCCUUGCGCGCGUGCUACUUGAAACCAUUACUGCAAAAGAGGCUAGAGGUUGGUUAGUGCCGCCGAGGAAAACUCCUAGUCUGUUUACCAACGGUAAGGCUUACCGGGGAUUAAAGUGUGCGCUUAGUGGUAAUCUAGUCCUGCCGGCGGCGACGCGGCGGAGCCGCCCUUAAAGGGAAACCACCAGUACGGCGACGACUGGCGGGCGACUGGGAAAACCAACUGGACCUAUGCCACAACAUUUACCUGGUAAGCUGCCACCCACCCAUAUUAAUGA